ACGGAAGGCAGCAGUGGGGAAUAUUGCGCAAUGGGGGAAACCCUGACGCAGCAACGCCGCGUGCAGGAAGAAGGUCUUCGGAUUGUAAACUGUUGUCGCAAGGGAAGAAGACAGUGACGGUACCUUGUGAGAAAGCCACGGCUAACUACGUGCCAGCAGCCGCGGUAAUACGUAGGUGGCAAGCGUUGUCCGGAUUUACUGGGUGUAAAGGGCGCGUAGGCGGGAUAGCAAGUCAGUCGUGAAAUACCGAGGCUUAACCUCGGGGCUGCGAUUGAAACUGUUAUUCUUGAGUAUCGGAGAGGAAAGCGGAAUUCCCAGUGUAGCGGUGAAAUGCGUAGAUAUUGGGAGGAACACCAGUGGCGAAGGCGGCUUUCUGGACGACAACUGACGCUGAGGCGCGAAAGUGUGGGGAGCAAACAGGAUUAGAUACCCUGGUA
rnacentral:rRNA from 1 species